rnacentral:rRNA from 1 species
UACGUAUGGUGCAAGCGUUAUCCGGAUUUACUGGGUGUAAAGGGAGCGUAGACGGCUGUGUAAGUCUGAAGUGAAAGCCCGGGGCUCAACCCCGGGACUGCUUUGGAAACUAUGCAGCUAGAGUGUCGGAGAGGUAAGUGGAAUUCCCAGUGUAGCGGUGAAAUGCGUAGAUAUUGGGAGGAACACCAGUGGCGAAGGCGGCUUACUGGACGAUGACUGACGUUGAGACUCGAAAGCGUGGGGAGCAAACAGG